GACGAACGCUGGCGGCGUGCUUAACACAUGCAAGUCGAACGGAAAGGCCCUGCUUUUGUGGGGUGCUCGAGUGGCGAACGGGUGAGUAACACGUGAGUAACCUGCCCUUGACUUUGGGAUAACUUCAGGAAACUGGGGCUAAUACCGGAUAGGAGCUCCUGCUGCAUGGUGGGGGUUGGAAAGUUUCGGCGGUUGGGGAUGGACUCGCGGCUUAUCAGCUUGUUGGUGGGGUAGUGGCUUACCAAGGCUUUGACGGGUAGCCGGCCUGAGAGGGUGACAGGCUGCAUUGGGACUGAGGCAGCGCCGGGAGUACUACGGGAGGCAGAAGGGGGGAAGAGUGCCCACUGGGUGGAAGCGUGAUGCCGCAACGCCGGGUGAGGAAUGAGGGUCUUCGGUGUGUAAAAAGCAAUCGCCUGUGACGAAGCGUGAAUGAGGGUAAUGAGUAAAAGAGCCACGGCUAACUACGCG
rnacentral:rRNA from 1 species